UGAUGAGGUUAAUAGGUUCGGAGUGUAAGCGCAGUAAUGUGUGUAGCUGACGAAUACUAAUCGAUCGAAGACUUAAUCAAAUU
rnacentral:rRNA from 1 species